rnacentral:SRP_RNA from 14 species
GUCAGGGCAUGAAUGAAGCAGCGGG